UAGCAUAUCAUAAGCGGAGGAAAAGAAACCAACAGGGAUUGCCCUAGUAACGGCGAGUGAAGCGGCAACAGCUCAAAUUUGAAAUCUGGCUUCGGCCCGAGUUGUAAUUUGUAGAGGAUGCUUUUGGCGCGGCACCUUCUCAGUCCCCUGGAACGGGGCGCCAUAGAGGGUGAGAGCCCCGUAUAGUUGGAUGCCUAGCCUGUGUAAAGCUCCUUCGACGAGUCGAGUAGUUUGGGAAUGCUGCUCAAAAUGGGAGGUAAAUUUCUUCUAAAGCUAAAUACCGGCCAGAGACCGAUAGCGCACAAGUAGAGUGAUCGAAAGAUGAAAAGCACUUUGAAAAGAGGGUUAAAUAGCACGUGAAAUUGUUGAAAGGGAAGCGCUUGUGACCAGACUUGCGCCGGGCUGAUCAUCCGGUGUUCUCACCGGUGCACUCUGCCCGGCUCAGGCCAGCAUCGGUUCUCGCGGGGGGAUAAAGGCCACGGGAACGUAGCUCCUCCGGGAGUGUUAUAGCCCGGGGCGUAAUACCCUCGCGGGGACCGAGGACCGCGCUCUGCAAGGAUGCUGGCGUAAUGGUCACCAGCGACCCGUCUUGAAACACGGACCAAGGAGUCAAGGUUUUGCGCGAGUGUUUGGGUGUAAAACCCGCACGCGUAAUGAAAGUGAACGUAGGUGAGAGCUUCGGCGCAUCAUCGACCGAUCCUGAUGUAUUCGGAUGGAUUUGAGUAAGAGCGUUAAGCCUUGGACCCGAAAGAUGGUGAACUAUGCUUGGAUAGGGUGAAGCCAGAGGAAACUCUGGUGGAGGCUCGCAGCGGUUCUGACGUGCAAAUCGAUCGUCAAAUCUGAGCAUGGGGGGCGAAAGACUAAUCGAACCAUCUAGUAGCUGGGUUACGCGA
rnacentral:rRNA from 1 species